UAUUUGACUCGUUACAGGUACCGAACAAAAAGGGGUACAAGGCCUUCGAAGACUGCUUGAAAAACGCUUAUAGUGCAUAUCUCAAGGAUCCGCAAUGCUGGGAUCGGAGAACGGAGAAAUUCAAAAAGAGGCAUAAGCACCACCUCAAAAUCCGACGCGAUUUCCCCUGCGCCAAACAACCCUUGGGAUCAAAGGCAUGUGGCUUGUACACCUGCGAGAACCUAAGGGAAAGCAAGGAGUACACCAACAGCUGGAAGAAGCUCAAAGAAGCAGUGAAGAAUCGU